GAGGGUAUAGCUCAGUAGUAGGGUGUGUGCUUAGCACGCUUGAGGCCCUGGGUUCAAUCCUCAGUACCUCCA
rfam:Camelus ferus unplaced genomic scaffold scaffold55, whole genome shotgun sequence.